rnacentral:rRNA from 1 species
ACGAUGAAACCGCGAAUGGCUCAUUAAAUCAGCUAUGGUUCCUUGGAUCGUGUCUUUUACAUGGAUAACUGUGGGAAUUCUAGAGCUAAUACAUGCACCAAAGCCGUGACCGCAAGGAACGGCGCAUUUAUUAGAUCAAAACCAACCGGACUUCGGUCUGAGUUGUUUGAUGACUCUGGAUAAACUUGAGCAGAUCGCAUGGCCAUGCGCCGGCGACGUAUCCUUCAAAUGUCUGCCCUAUCAACUUACGUUGGUAGGUUACCUGCCUACCAUGGUGAUCACGGGUAACGGGGAAUCAGGGUUCGAUUCCGGAGAGGGAGCAUGAGAAACGGCUACCAGAACUACGGUUUGCAGCAGGCGCGCAAAUUACCCACUCCCGGUACGGGGAGGUAGUGACGAAAAAUAACAAUACGGGUCUUUUUAUAGGCCCCGUAAUUGGAAUGAGUACACCUUAAAACCAUUAACGAGUACCAAUUGGAGGGCAAGUCUGGUGCCAGCAGCCGCGGUAAUUCCAGCUCCAAUAGCAUAUA